rnacentral:rRNA from 1 species
UACGGGGGGGGCAAGCGUUGUUCGGAAUUAUUGGGUGUAAAGGGCGCGUAGGCGGCGCGAAAAGUCUAUUGUUUAAACCUCUGGCCUAACCAGAGACAUGCGGUGGAUACUUUCGUGCUCGAGUAUGGAAGAGAGAAGUGGAAUUCUCGGAGUAGCGGUAAAAUGCGUAGAUCUCGAGAGGAACGCCAAUGGCGAAGGCAGCUUCUUGGUACAUUACUGACGCUAAGGCGCGAAGGCGUGGGGAGCAAACAGG